rnacentral:lncRNA from 1 species
UUCAAGGCGCGGCAUGUAAAACACAGUCGUUUUGGCAUGAGGAAUUAAACUGCAAAAAGAAGCACUCACGCAGGAAUCGAACACAGGAUACAUUGGAUAAUAGCGCGCUAACAGUACAUUUGAAGACCUGAACCAGAAACCCUAGGAACAGUACAUGCACGGCCAGGCAUGGUGGUUUCCACCGUCUUCUUCAUGAAUACGGUGGUGCUACAGUAGCAAGCUCAAAUUUUUUUUCCAGAAUUGCACAAUGUAUACAUCAUUGGAAAGCUCUCAUCAAGCACAACACAAAUCCAAUAUUAUUUUGGUCUAAUU